GAUGAACGCUAGCGGCAGGCCUAACACAUGCAAGUCGAGGGAGAAGCCUUUCGGGGCAGAAACCGGCGCACGGGUGCGUAACGCGUAUGCAACCUACCUUUCACAGGGGGAUAGCCCGAAGAAAUUUGGAUUAAUACCCCAUAAUAUUGUUGGAUGGCAUCAUCUGAUAAUUAAAACUGUGGUGGUGAAAGAUGGGCAUGCGUCCUAUUAGCUAGUUGGAGUGGUAACGGCACCCCAAGGCUACGAUAGGUAGGGGUCCUGAGAGGGAGAUCCCCCACACUGGUACUGAGACAGGGACCAGACUCCUACGGGAGGCAGCAGUGAGGAAUAUUGGUCAAUGGUCGGAAGACUGAACCAGCCAUGCCGCGUGCAGGAAGAAUGCCUUAUGGGUUGUAAACUGCUUUUAUAUGGGAAGAAUAAGGUGUACGUGUACAUUGAAG
rnacentral:rRNA from 1 species